ensembl:snoRNA Gm23233 predicted gene, 23233
UUGCAGCCGAUUAAGCUGACCAAGUAGGUCCCUUUCCCCAUGGGCUUGGCGUGCACUGAUCACAGACUGCAGCUACCUUGGGACUGUAUGCAGCUUGGUGCCUAUGUAGGCUGCACAGAGGGACCUUGGAGACAAUU